CACAGCAAACCAGAGGAUCCCAUUGGGUAUCUAGUCCCUGCACCUGUUCUCCCAUCUCACUGGUCCUUCUUCCAGAGUGGUGUUGCAUGGAAAAUGGCAAGAAUCUGCAUUCAUUCUCUGACUCAGAAAGAGCCAUGGUGAACACAGUGAGAAGGCAGCAGUCUAUGCGCCAGGAAGUGGCUUCUUACCAGGAACAGAAUCUGCCAACCCCUUGAUCUUGGACUUUCCAGCUCCCAGAACUAGGCUGGAGGAAGGAAGCCUGGCAUGCAAGGUAAAGGUUUUCCUUGGAAAAUUGUUUUGGAUACCCACUGACAUAGGAAGAAUUAUUGAUGGAAGUCUCAAAUGUCUAGGUCUGAUCAUGUAGCUUAAAUACAUUAAAAAUGUAAAUGCGUUAAAGUUGGUGCUGUACCCAAAGAAUCAUAAUUUUGUUUAAUGGAACUUCUUAAUGAACCCUCCAAUUAACCAAAUUGUAUCCUAGAUAAUUGAAUACAUUGCUUGCUACAUAUAUUUAAACAUUGGUUAAAUUUAGAGGAAUGUUUACAACAUUAAUGAUCUGGAUGUAGAAAUCUCAAUCUACUCAGUCAAAGACUAAUUAGCCAGAGGGUAGGUUUUCUAUAAAGGCUUGACCUAGUUCAUGCCAGUAAGAUAAUUUUAUCAGCACAUAGAAUGUUUCUUUCCAAUGUAUGAGUAAGAACAAACGGGAGGUGUUCAGGUCACCAAAAAUAAAUACCAAGUCGUUAAGG